CCGGCGCGGCGAGAGCCACAGCGGAGCCCAGCGACAGCUCGAACCUGAGCCGCAGGAUUCGGGGGACCGGAGGGCUUUGCCGUCCGCCAAGAUCGGAACUCUAAAAGGUGGACACUGGAGCAUCAGUACCUGGAAGGAGAAGAAGAUACUGGGCCAUUUCAAGCCCUCCAGGCCCUUGACAUAAAGCUUAAGCCCUACAGGAACUGACGUGCUCCUCCUCCUACUGGUGCUUUUCUUCUAGGACAAGGGCACAUGGGGCCAAGAACACCGGUGAAUUAUGUCCUUCCUCAGACACUGGCUGUGGGAGAAUCAGGGCUCUUCCUCUCCCAGCAGAUGCUCUCCUGCUGAGUGAAGUAUGUGAUGGAGCCAUGAGUACGAGAUUCAGUCUGUCCUCAAUUCCUUGUGGAGUGGAGAGAAAGCAGGCCCAGAGACCAGGAGACCUGGUUCAAAUUCAAGAUUAAGUGAGAUAAUGCUAUAUCCAUUAAGAUCAUCUUGGUAGCAAGGACAGAAAAAUCGAACCCAAGAUGGCUUUGAGCGAAAAAAAAAGAAUUUGAGACUCACUUGAAGCUGAAAAGUCUACGGGUGGUAAUAGGGUUCUGCACCAAUUUCCAACAUGUAUGUUGGGGAGGUUUUCCCCAUACCACCAAGGAAUUUUCCAAGACCCCAGCUGGGUGUCUUAGAAUUCAACUCAAUGCUGACGCUAUAUACCUGGAAAUAGUGCUAGAGCCUGCAAGUUAAGGGCUCAGUCCCACAAGACUGGACCCCACCCCAAUGCCAAUCUCAAGUCCAGAUUGUCACCUGUGCUUCUAGCCAAUCAGCUAUAACUCUGAGGUUCCCCCAACCUUCUCCCUGGGUUUGAUUAAUUUGCUAGAGCAGCUCACAGAACUCAGAGAAACAUUUUACUUACUAGAUUACUGGUUUACUAUAUUUUUAAGUG